rnacentral:misc_RNA from 1 species
UAUUUGCGAAGGAAUAUGGUGCUUUUAAAAAAGAUUAGAAUGGCAGACUACUACAUGUUGCUCGAGGUUCACAAAACGGCACCUGCCAGUGAGAUUAAAAAAGCGUACAGAAAACUAGCUCUCAAAUGGCAUCCAGACAAAAACCCCAACAAUGCCGAGGAAGCUACAAUUAGAUUUAAGGAAAUCUCUGAAGCCUAUGAUGUUUUAUCUGAUGAAAAGAAAAGAAAGAUUUAUGAUAAAUAUGGAAAAGAUGGAUUGACAUCAGGUGCCCGACAACAGAGCCGGGGUCGAAGAUCAAGGACAGAGGAUGGAUUUGAUGAUGAAUUUUCCUACGGGUUUCCGUCAUUUGCGUUCCGAGAUCCAUUUGAUAUAUUCCGCGAAUUUUUUGGAGGAGGAGAUCCAUUCGAGGACAUGAUGGAUCCAUUUGGAGAUCCAUUUGCAGGGUUUGGUAUGAUGGGUGCGAGGAAUCAACGUCACGGAGGAGGUCUAGUGAUGAGACAUCAGCGACGAAAUCAUCCCAUGAACGCCAUGUCCCCGUUUGGAGCUUUCGGAGGUUUUGGAUUUGGUAUGCCUGGAUUUGGAAUGGGAUUCGGUGGUACUCUUCUGGACGAAUUAGAUUCAGGGUUUGGUGCAAAUAGUUCAAUUCAAUCGUUCAGUAGUUCCUCGUUCGGUGGAGGAUCUGGAAUGUCCAUGAGAAGUUCGUCCAGCUCCACAAGGUUCCUCAAUGGCAAAAAGAUCAUGACAAAGAAGGUUGUAGACAAUGGAGUUGAAACCGUUACAACAUAUGAAAAUGAUGUUCUCAAAUCUCAGACGGUCAACGGUGUUCCUCAAGCAAUCCAGGGAGCGGUUCCAACGCAACGAAUUUCAUCAGGAUCCAGAAUUCAUGCUCACAGUGCUCAGCACGCGCAUAAUCCGAACACAGUUGAUGCAAGGUUGCAUGCACUGGGUGCGCGAAGUCAUGGUGCCCAUGUCGGAGACCCUCGCCUUGCUCACGGUACACAUGAUCGACAUCGAGCACGUCGACAUCAAUGAAUUUUUAGAGAUAACAUCUAAUCAAGUACCAAGUUUUUUCUUAAAGCUUUAAAUUUGUAUGAAGUUCUCAUUCAUUGAUUUAAAAUUUUUUGUUUUAAUGUCUGUGCUGGGAUGAUGCGUUGUUUAAAUAGGAAAAUAGUUAAUUCAUAAUAAAGACUGAGUUAGAAUAUGGGGUUUAGUUAGUUUGAUUUGGUUUUAAAAAUCAUUUUCUGUGUUGUAAUUCAUGAAUCCUGUUCUACAACUCAGGGAAAAGCAAAUUUAAGGAUUUAGUUUUGAUCCUUGCAUAGAAUUUAUUUUUGUAGAGGUGAAGUGAAUUUUCUGAAAAAAAAUCGCCGACAUAAUCAAACAAUUACUCGUGAACUAAGUCAGACGUCAGGAAAGGCUAAGGAUUCGGUCUGUCCUAAGUAGAGUUUAAAAAAAACCAUAAAUAUAAUUUUUAAUUUAAAUUGAUUUUUCACAUAUAAAUUUUAUAAUAGGGGUGUAUAUUUUUUACAAAAAUCUUAUUUUUUUCAUCUCUUUGAUAAUAAUUCUUUUACCCAUGAUGAGUUAGGUAUGUUUGAGCUGAGCACCAACAAUUUUGAAUAUGUUUUUUUCCCGCUCAAAUAAAUGAUUUUUAGGGGGAAUUAAGCGCAUUUUUGUUGGAAAAAGUAGCUAAAAGGAUGUAAAAACAUGUCCAUUAAUGUCCACUUUUUCAUCCCCCCCCCAUUAAAAAAUCAUUGUCUAAUCAUUGCAAUCUUUAAAAUUAUACACCCCUGUUGUACAUAAUCUGUAAAAAUUACAAGGGUAAAAGUAUUGUUGUAAAAGCAUUCCUCAUUUUUCAAAAAGUUAAAAAAAAAAA